UUGGGGAUUAGAGAGAGAGAGAGUAGAGGAGAGGAGGGGGUGGUCAGUGGUGCUGCAGGCUGCAGGGCGCAGGCUGCAGGCGAUCGAUGAUGGUGGGCCGGCUGCGGUGGGCGACGAGGGAGGGGGGAGGAGGGAGGUGGGAGGCGGACGCGGAGACGGCGGCGACGAUGGAGGGGACGGCGCGCGCCGUGCCGGGGGACCCGCUCCCGCUGGGCCUCUCCCGCGGGCCCCGCGUCACCCGCCCCAAGCAGCUCGACUUCAUGCACCGCUUCAUGUCCCUCCCCCUCCUCCCCUCCUUCUCCCCCCGCUCCGGCCCCCUCCUCCACCGCGCCCACACCUUCCACCUCUCCCACAACUGGUCUGCAACUAUUCUGGAGCAGUUCCAUGUACAGAAAAUUUUAUCAUUCCUGAAAGGAGGUUUGUCAAACCAUGUAGAGGAAAAAUCGCGGCAUGAGAUCAUAAAGAAACACAUGCAUGAUGUACUUUCUCUAGGUUUUGGUACGGAACUACUAAUCACACCGGAUUCAACUAUACUAGUUGAAACAUACGAUGUUUUCAAGGAGAAUCGAGUCAAAGCAAUCUAUCAUCACAAGCUUCCUCAACACAAUUUAACAUUGGAGGCAGCAUGGCCCGGACUAUUUAUUGAUAAGAAAGGAACAUACUGGGAUGUGCCUCUGUCAUUGGCAAUUGAUCUUGCUUCUAUUUCUUCAUGUUCUGGCCUCAGUUAUCAUUUAUGCUUACAGCAUAACAGUGGAUAUCCAAAGCACUUUGGCGGCUGUCAAGCUGAUAAAGUGCCAGCCGCUUUGCUGCCUGGGUUAUGUAUGAAAGCGGCUUUUUCCUUCAAGAAAGAUGUAGAAUUUUGGAGAAAGAAAGAGGGAAAGCUAAAGAUGGUCCAACCUUAUGACCUAUUUCUCUCAGAUCCUCAUGUUUCGGGUUCAGGGACAAUUGGUGCAGUAGCCAGUGCAUCGCUCGGAGAUUGUUCAGCGAGACUAUCUGAGGAAGAAGAAUCAAAUAGAUUGAAUGCGUUCUGGUUAUGUGCUCAAAGAGAUAAAGUUGGUCUCUUUGCUGAUCUCUUUGCUUCUGUCUCCUGCACGGCUCAACAUGGAAAUUUCCAGAGGCUUUUCCUCGAUCUCACCAGGUUAAGUGCCAGAUUCGAUUUCCCUUCGGGCUCACAAUUUUUAAGCGGUGCGACUCGUCUCGCUCAAGAUGUGUACUACUCUCGGCGACCAGAUUUAAGGGCUAUCCAAGCUGUUUGUCCUGACAUGUUGGUUUCUCUUCAGCAACAGAUAGCUGGACCCAUAAGCUUCCGAGUUGACUCCAAAGUAGUACUUGACCUAAAAGAUGGGAACCAUAUCCCCCGCAUGGAUGAGUCGAUUUUUGCGCUCGACUGGGCUCUGAAGGUUCUUGGGUCAGCAAAGGCCACAGCUUGGUACUCCCCCAGACACAAGGAGUUCAUGGUGGAGCUUCGAUUCUUCGAGACCUGAACAAAUUCUUCGCUCGACAUCCCCCUCUGCAUCGAGCUCCUCCAAUCUGUUGUUUGGAACUUCAGUUGCGCCAGGGUUGACUGAAAACCUAACCCAACCUGAACCUGACCUUCGUAUACUUUAGAAUUGUAUUAUAUCGAUGUUUGCUAGAUAUAAUUCAAUUGUCUCUUUGACCUUGUACUCUUCAAAACUAUAUUUGCAUUAUUGUUAUUUUUUAAUUGUUAUCCAA